AGCAGCUGUCUCAGAGGGUUGGUCUCCCGAUACAGCCACAGCUACUGUUCACAGAGCAAAGUGCUUGUUGGGGUCCAGUGUCUUCUGCUUAGAUUUUGUAGCCAUAACCCCUCCUCUACUCACCCCAUUUCCACCCAUAUCUGCUGGGUUGGACUGGUUUGUUUCAGUUGAUUCCUGGGAGCCAUUUGUUUGAAACUAUUUCAGAGGGCCUUUAGGGAUUCCACCCACACUACAUAACUCACCUGUACAGUGGCCACAUGCUUAUCUUGUGGUAGCCCCCAUGUGUGUCCUCUCCAGUGAAGAUAUGAAGAACUCUA
rnacentral:lncRNA from 1 species